CUGGGCCUCNGGGCCCNGAAAGCGGCCUGGUAAGUCUGCUGUGAAAGCCCACGGCUCAACCGUGGAANUGCAUUUGAAACUGCUAGGCUUGAGUAUCCCAGGGGAAGGUGGAAUUCCCGGUGUAGAGGUGAAAUUCGUAGAUAUCGGGAGGAAUACCGGUGGCGAAGGCGACUUUCUGGNUNAAUACUGACGCUGAGGCGCGAAAGCGUGGGGAGCAAACAGGAUUAGAUACCCCGGUAGUCCACGCCGUAAACGAUGUCNACUAGAUGCAGGGGGGUUGAUCCCCUCUGUGUCGCAGCUAACGCAUUAAGUUGACCGCCUGGGGAGUACGGUCGCAAGAUUAAAACUCAAAGGAAUUGACGGGGGCCCGCACAAGCGGUGGAGUAUGUGGUUUAAUUCGAUGCAACCCCGAAGANCCUUACCUGNCCUUGACAUCCCGAA
rnacentral:rRNA from 1 species